ACAACAACGCUUCGGUUAAAAAACUAUUUGCUUCGUAUUUCCUUUUUCUAUGUAUCUGCUCGCUUCUUUUUCAAAAUGACCCAGUGUAAAUUUGAGCACAUGUAAACACACUAGUGUCCGCACUGCGACGACACAAUCACUUCAUGGUAAAAGGGACGGAAAAGUCGCAUGUCCGAAAAACCCUGGGUCCGUGCACUUGCAAGCGCUGAUUUCGAGGAUGCAUCUCUCAAUCAGAAGGAAAGCUGUUGUCCUCCUCCGCGUCUGAAUGGAAAAUCUCAUUUUUGUACAGCAAGGAAACCACGUGAAAACAAGAGGACAUCACGGAACCUGCAGCCAUGGGAGUCUUCGCCACACAGCAUAGUGGAACACGAUGUCGCGAAGGUUGCUUCUCUGCAAAACCCCUGAUUCCGCCAGUGAGGAACUUCUACCUGACGGGCAAGUAAUGAACGAAUUGGCUGUCUUAACUGUUUUGAAUCCCGUUGGAAUUGUGGCGAUAAUUCAAUGAUAUUAU